GGAUAGCUCAGUCGGUAGACCAUUAGACCCUAAAUCUCAGGGUUGUAGGUUGUGGGUUCAAGCCCCACGUUGGGCA